GAGCACCCUUUGGGGUGUGACUGCGUACCUUUUGUAUAAUGGGUCAGCGACUUAUAUUCUGUAGCAAGGUUAACCGUAUAGGGGAGCCGGAGGGAAACCGAGUCUUAACCGGGCGUUAAGUUGCAGGGUAUAGACCCGAAACCCGGUGAUCUAGCCAUGGGCAGGUUGAAGGUUGGGUAACACUAACUGGAGGACCGAACCGACUAAUGUUGAAAAAUUAGCGGAUGACCUGUGGCUGGGGGUGAAAGGCCAAUCAAACCGGGAGAUAGCUGGUUCUCCCCGAAAGCUAUUUAGGUAGCGCCUCGUGAAUUCAUCUCCGGGGGUAGAGCACUGUUUCGGCUAGGGGGCCAUCCCGGCUUACCAACCCGAUGCAAACUGCGAAUACCGGAGAAUGUUAUCACGGGAGACACACGGCGGGUGCUAACGUCCGUCGUGAAGAGGGAAACAACCCAGACCGCCAGCUAAGGUCCCAAAGUCAUGGUUAAGUGGGAAACGAUGUGGGAAGGCCCAGACAGCCAGGAUGUUGGCUUAGAAGCAGCCAUCAUUUAAAGAAAGCGUAAUAGCUCACUGGUCGAGUCGGCCUGCGCGGAAGAUGUAACGGGGCUAAACCAU
rnacentral:rRNA from 1 species